AUUGAACGCUGGCGGCAUGCUUUACACAUGCAAGUCGGACGGCAGCACAGAGAAGCUUGCUUCUUGGGUGGCGAGUGGCGAACGGGUGAGUAAUAUAUCGGAACGUACCGAGUAAUGGGGGAUAACUAAUCGAAAGAUUAGCUAAUACCGCAUAUUCUCUGAGGAGGAAAGCAGGGGACCUUCGGGCCUUGCGUUAUUCGAGCGGCCGAUAUCUGAUUAGCUAGUUGGUGGGGUAAAGGCCUACCAAGGCGACGAUCAGUAGCGGGUCUGAGAGGAUGAUCCGCCACACUGGGACUGAGACACGGCCCCGACUCCUACGGGAGGCAGCAGUGGGGAAUUUUGGACAAUGGGCGCAAGCCUGAUCCAGCCAUGCCACGUGUCUGAAGAAGGCCUUCGGGUUGUAAAGGACUUUUGUCAGGGAAGAAAAGGCUGUUGCUAAUAUCAAGAGCUGAUGACGGUACCUGAAGAAUAAGCACCGGCUAACUACGUG
rnacentral:rRNA from 1 species